UACGAAGGGGGCAAGCGUUGUUCGGAAUGACUGGGCGUAAAGGGCGCGUAGGCGGUUCGUUGCGUCAGAUGUGAAAGCCCCGGGCUCAACCUGGGAACUGCAUUUGAUACGGGCGAGCUUGAAUCCAAGAGAGGGUGGUGGAAUUCCCAGUGUAGAGGUGAAAAUUCGUAGAUAUUGGGAGGAACACCAGUGGCGAAGGCGGAGACCUGGGCCAAUACUGACGCUGAGGUGCGAAAGCGUGGGGAGCAAACAGGG
rnacentral:rRNA from 1 species